UGGGAGACAGCCUUGCAGAGACACCUUUGAAAGGUUCGUUUAUUAUUUCAAACUGCUUAGUUUUGUAGAUCAUGCCCCAAAAUAAAUAGGUCUCAACAUUAUUGCUGCUAGUAGUUGAUAGUCUGUCAAUUGGGUUGAGGCAGUUUAUGUUCAUUUUUCUGAUGUAUACUUCUAUUUCUCUCCAAGAUGUAUGAUACCCGUAUUAGCAAAUCUUAAGUGGUGAAGUCGAUUCAUGACCGUAAUGCUUGCAGUCUUGACCCCCCCCCCUCCGGGUCACUGGUCAUGAUAAGCAUUUCAUAUUGUACAAACAAAAGUUUUGUUUUUCAUUGAGCUUUUUUGUGUCAAGCAAUAUGUGUAACUCCAUCUUAGCUUGCAGAAUACACAAGAACUAUUAGUUUUUAAUGAUUUUUUGUAUUUUUGUCCUAUUGUUGUAUCGACACAGUUUCAGUUCCUUUAGGUACACUUUACUUACCUUAAGCUCUCAACUAUUUGUUUGUUGUGUUGUUGGCUUAAUAAAACUGAUGU
rnacentral:lncRNA from 1 species